GACGAACGCUGGCGGCGUGCUUAACACAUGCAAGUCGAACGGAAAGGCCCUGCUUUUGUGGGGUGCUCGAGUGGCGAACGGGUGAGUAACACGUGAGUAACCUGCCCUUAACUUUGGGAUAACUUCAGGAAACUGGGGCUAAUACCGGAUAGGAGCUCCUGCUGCAUGGUGGGGGUUGGAAAGUUUCGGCGGUUGGGGAUGGACUCGCGGCUUAUCAGCUUGUUGGUGGGGUAGUGGCUUACCAAGGCUUUGACGGGUAGCCGGACUGAGAGGGUGACCGGCCACAUUGGGACUGAGAUACGGCCCAGACUCCUACGGGAGGCAGCAGUGGGGAAUAUUGCACAAUGGGCGGAAGCCUGAUGCAGCAACGCCGCGUGCGGGAUGACGGCCUUCGGGUUGUAAACCGCUUUCGCCUGUGACGAAGCGUGAGUGACGGUAAUGGGUAAAGAAGCACCGGCUAACUACGUG
rnacentral:rRNA from 1 species